rnacentral:rRNA from 1 species
AACAAGGAUUCCCCUAGUAACGGCGAGUGAAGCGGGAAGAGCUCAAAUUUGAAAGCUGUUGCCUUUGGUAACCGCAUUGUAAUCAUCGAGAUCUGUUUUCCGCGCUGGACCAUGUACAAGUCCCUUGGAAUAGGGCGUCAUAGAGGGUGAGAAUCCCGUACUUGACAUGGACUCCCAGUGCUUUGUGAUACAGGCUCAACGAGUCGAGUUGUUUGGGAAUGCAGCUCAAAAUGGGUGGUAAAUUCCAUCUAAAGCUAAAUAUUGGGGAGAGACCGAUAGCGAACAAGUACCGUGAGGGAAAGAUGAAAAGCACUUUGGAAAGAGAGUUAAACAGUACGUGAAAUUGUCAAAAGGGAACCGUUUGAAGUUAGUCAUGCUUGCCUGGACUCAGCCUUGCUUUUGCUUGGUGCAUUUCCAGGUACGCAGGUCAGCAUCGGUUUUGACUGCUGGAUAAGGGUGAGAGGAAUGUGGCACCCUCGGGUGUGUUAUAGCCUUUCACUGGAUGCAGCAGUUGGGACCGAGGAAGGCAGCGCGCCUUUAUGGCGGACCUUCGGGUACCUUCGCGCUUAGGAUG